rnacentral:rRNA from 1 species
AGCGAACGCUGGCGGCAGGCCUAACACAUGCAAGUCGAGCGCCCCGCAAGGGGAGCGGCAGACGGGAGAGUAACACGUGGGAACGUGCCCUUUGGUUCGGAACAACCCAGGGAAACUUGGGCUAAUACCGGAUAAGCCCUCACGGGGAAAGAUUCAUCGCCGAAGGAUCGGCCCGCGUCUGAUUAGCUAGUUGGUGGGGUAAUGGCCCACCAAGGCGACGAUCAGUAGCUGGUCUGAGAGGAUGAUCAGCCUCACUGGGACUGAGACACGGCCCAGACUCCUACGGGAGGCAGCAGUGGGGAAUAUUGGACAAUGGGCGCAAGCCUGAUCCAGCCAUGCCGCGUGGGUGAUGAAGGCCCUAGGGUUGUAAAGCCCUUUCGGCGGGGAAGAUAAUGACGGUACCCGCAGAAGAAGCCCCGGCUAACUUCGUGCCAGCAGCCGCCGUAACAC